UACGUGGGGUGCGAGCGUUAAUCGGAAUUACUGGGCGUAAAGCGUGCGCAGGCGGUGAUGUAAGACAGGUGUGAAAUCCCGGGGCUCAACCUCGGAACUGCAUUUGUGACUGCAUCGCUGGAGUGUGGCAGAGGGGGAUGGAAUUCCGCGUGUAGCAGUGAAAUGCGUAGAUAUGCGGAGGAACACCGAUGGCGAAGGCAAUCCCCUGGGCCUGCACUGACGCUCAUGCACGAAAGCGUGGGGAGCAAACAGG
rnacentral:rRNA from 1 species